rnacentral:rRNA from 1 species
AUUGAACGCUGGCGGCAGGCCUAACACAUGCAAGUCGAACGGUAACAGGAAGAAGCUUGCUUCUUUGCUGACGAGUGGCGGACGGGUGAGUAAUGUCUGGGAAACUGCCUGAUGGAGGGGGAUAACUACUGGAAACGGUAGCUAAUACCGCAUAACGUCGCAAGACCAAAGAGGGGGACCUUCGGGCCUCUUGCCAUCGGAUGUGCCCAGAUGGGAUUAGCUAGUAGGUGGGGUAACGGCUCACCUAGGCGACGAUCCCUAGCUGGUCUGAGAGGAUGACCAGCCACACUGGAACUGAGCCACGGUCCAGACUCCUACGGGAGGCAGCAGUGGGGAAUAUUGCACAAUGGGCGCAAGCCUGAUGCAGCCAUGCCGCGUGUAGGAAGAAGGCCUGCGGGUUGUAAAGUACUUUCAGCGGGGAGGAAGGGAGUAAAGUUAAUACCUUUACUCAUUGACGUUACCCGCAGAAGAAGCACCGGCUAACUCCGU